rnacentral:rRNA from 1 species
UACGUAGGGUGCAAGCGUUGUCCGGAAUUAUUGGGCGUAAAGAGCUCGUAGGCGGUUUGUCGCGUCUGCUGUGAAAACGCGAGGCUCAACCUCGCGCCUGCAGUGGGUACGGGCAGACUAGAGUGCGGUAGGGGAGAUUGGAAUUCCUGGUGUAGCGGUGGAAUGCGCAGAUAUCAGGAGGAACACCGGUGGCGAAGGCAGGUCUCUGGGCUGUAACUGACGCUGAGGAGCGAAAGCAUGGGGAGCGAACAGG